AGAACGAACGCUGGCGGCAUGCCUAAUACAUGCAAGUCGAACGAACACUUCGGUGUUAGUGGCGCACGGGUGCGUAACGCGUGGGAAUCUGCCCUUGGGUUCGGAAUAACAGUUGGAAACGACUGCUAAUACCGGAUGAUAUCGAAAGAUCAAAGAUUUAUCGCCCAGGGAUGAGCCCGCGUAGGAUUAGCUAGUUGGUGAGGUAAAGGCUCACCAAGGCGACGAUCCUUAGCUGGUCUGAGAGGAUGAUCAGCCACACUGGGACUGAGACACGGCCCAGACUCCUACGGGAGGCAGCAGUAGGGAAUAUUGGACAAUGGGCGCAAGCCUGGAUCCAGCAAUGCCGCGUGAGUGAUGAAGGCGUUAGGGUUAGUAAAGCUACUUUUACCCGAGAUGAUAAUGACAGUAGUCGGAGAGUAACGCCCCGCUAACGUCCGUGCCGAGCAGCCGC
rnacentral:rRNA from 1 species